rnacentral:lncRNA from 1 species
UAGAUGUAGGAAUUGUGUGACUUGUAUAACCCCAUCCACAUUCCCUUGACAUGUCUGUUUCAAUAAUUGGAGUUUUGGAUGAUUUUAUAGGGCUUGAGGGUGGGUUUCUCUUUGCCAGGUCUUUCAACACUUCUACUACUCUGAUUUGUGUGUGUGUGUGUGUGUGUGUGUGUACAGUUUAUUUUCUGGUUUUCAGAGAGAUGUUGGUGCUGGGUUCAAGGUCACACAGCAAGUCUGAGGCAGAGGGCUUUGAACCUGAAUUUUCUUUCAGGGAGAGGUUUGGGGCCAGUUCUGUGCUGUCAAGCCCUUGAAGAUUUACUGUUGGAAGACCCUGGGUCUUAAGAGGAGAUGCCACUAGCUCAAGGUCACACAGACGGGGUGGGUGGCCUGCAGAGCAGUAGCAGGGCUGAGCUGCGGGCUGGGCUGCAGGCAGGAGGCGCUGGAGGCUGAGGUGACACUUGGAAAGGGAGGGCUGGGCCUUGGGCAUUCUCCCGCCCUGGUCCUCCUCAGCCCGCAGCUUUCAGCUUGCCGUGGGUGGGAGUGGGUUCCGCAGCAGCUGGAGAGCUAGCUGCAGAUGCUGCGGUGCGGGCCGGCUGGCGAGGAAACACAGAGGGCCGCGGGGCUACUGGGCUGCUCUGGGCGAGCCGGCUGAUGUCAUGUGAGAAGCCUGCACACCUGGAGCCCAGAUAAGCUCCGUGUGACCUGACAGUGAGUCACGCGGCGCUGCGGAGCUCAGCAGAACCGACGGGCGCGGCGGGCGCGGGCCAGGUCAGCCUGUGCGACCCCGCAUGGCGCUGCGCCAUAGCGUGCAGGCCUGGGAGAGGGGCGGUGGACUGGAGGGAACCACAGCUCUGGAGGUCAGAGGCCAAGGGAAAGAGGCUGGGCCCCCUCCGGAAGGCAUUUCCUUUGUAUUUAUUUAUGAGUGUGGGGUGGCGUGGGGGCUGGGGAACUGACCUAAGGAUCAAUCCAUGGCAGCCAAGUCAGAGCCCCCAGUUUGGGGAGGUUAAUGCUAUGUAGUUUCCAUUUCCUGGAGUUUCUGCUUUGCCUGCGGCAGGAUGGCCCGUUUAACUCUGUCCCAAAGCUGCUGAAGUCACUGAAAGUUUUUGAAGACAAGAGGGCAAGCCUUAUACUGGUCGUGGCAAAUCCUAUUUACUGCUGUGAUAACGAUGGAUUGCUCACUACCUGGUCAAGACUCCCUUUUUCACUUUUUGAAAUGGACAUUCAUCCCACCUCUGACUCUAGAGUCGGACCUUUUGUUUUGUUUUUGGUGCACGGCUGGCAUUCAAACCCAGGCUUAUCACAGGUGCCCGCCAAACCCUUUACAGCUCGCUGAGCUAUACAGCUAGCUCUGCAGAACUUUUAAAGACUUGUUAUAUGGUUAUGUAGAGAGGGUUAAAUGUUACAUUAAAAUAUAAUUUAACAUACAUAUUUUUAUGUUUUCUGUAGAAAAAUCCCAUUCCACUCAUUUUCUCACCCACACUUGGACACACACAGCCCUACUAGCUGAUUAUUGACAUUGUAAGAAUUUAUAACAUGGUCCAGAGAAAUGGCCUUGCUGCCAAUCCUGAUGACCUGAGUUCCAUUCCUGGAACCUACAUGGUAGAAGGAGAGAACUGACUCCCAUUAGCUCUCCCCUUAUGUCCACAGUGUUUCUGUGGGGCAUGUAUGCAUAUACACACAGAAAUAAAAUGCAAUAAUUGAAAGCAUAUAUAUAUAUGUAUAUAUAUGUGUGUGUGUGUAUUACAAAUCUUUCGACUUCUAAAAUCUGUAUCACUUCCUCAAAGCAUAUAUUCCCCUGUGAAUAUGCAAAUAAAAUAUUAAUAUAAAUGUGUAUAUUCAGAUACACAUACAUAUAUUACAAUUUUUUUGUACCAUGGGCUUGGGGAGAUAGCUCAGUAGUUAAGAGCACUGGCUACUAUUCCAGGGGACCUGAGUUCAGUUCUUUUCAUUCACAUGGUGAUUCAUAACCUGUAACUCCAUUUCUAGGGGAUUGAAUGCCUUUGUAGGCACCAGGCAUGCUAGCAGUGCCUACAGGUACAUACAAACAAAACACUUAUGCACAUGGGAAAAAAACCAAUAUAUACUAUCUCACAAGUUGCCUUUAAAAAAAUUUAACAUGUGCCACCACCGCCUGGCCCUACCUCAUUCUUCUUAAUAACUUCCUAGUUACUUUAUAAUUUAGCAAUUUCACCAGUGAUUUAUGUUUAUAGAUUUGCUAUUAUAAAUAAAGCCACAAAAGAUUAGUUAUGUUCAUUGUGUGGACUAUCUAUAGAUGACCCAUGGUAGAAUUGACCAGGCAAGGGCUGGAGAGGUGGCUCUGUGGUUAAGAGCACUUGUUGCUCUUCUAGGAAACCUAAGUUCAAUUCUGUGCAGCUCAUAACCACUGUAACAACAGUUCCAAGGGAUCAGCCACCCUUUUCUGUCUUUUUUAUGUACCCACACAUACAUGCUGUUACUCAAGUAAGUGCACAUAUGCACAUAAAAUUGAAAAAAAUAAAAAAAAAUGGACUGGUCAAAAAAAAUGUAUAUAAGUAAUUCCAUAGAUGCCACCCAUUCACUCUACUGGAACAUUAUGCCAAGGCUUACUCUCACAGUAUGUAUACUAAAGUUAAAUGAUCCAGGCCUUAGCAUGGCUCCUGUGCAAAGAUAAAAUACUAGUUCAUGAAGCAGUUCCUGUUUCUAUAAUAGAAGUGGCCUGGCCUUUUUGAUACUCAAAAAGAAAGACAUGGGGUCAGUGAGAUGACCCAGCAGGCAAAGGCACUUGCCUCCAAGAUUGGGACCUGAGUUCUGAGUUUGCUCCCUUGAGCGUACCUAGCAGAAAGAGAGAAAUGGCUCCUGUAAGUUGUCCUCUGACGUCCACCUGUCCACAUCAGCUCCUGCACCCAGAAUAAAUGAAUGUCAUUUAUUUACAGUUUUACAAAAAGAAAUCCUAUGACUUUGUACUUUAAUCAACAUAGAUAAGAGCCUCUGUUUCCCAUGCCCUAAUGGAUGUUGCUCUUAUUAAACUACUAUGUAAAAAA